CAGAGCUUCCGGGUUUCCGGGGCAACUACGAUGGCGAUGAGUUUCGAGUGGCCGUGGCAGUAUCGUUUCCCGCCCUUCUUUACGUUACAGCCCAACGUGGACACACGGCAGAAGCAGCUGGCCGCCUGGUGCUCGCUGGUCCUGUCCUUCUGCCGCCUGCACAAACAGUCGAGCAUGACGGUGAUGGAGGCGCAGGAGAGUCCGCUCUUCAACAACGUCAAGCUGCAGCGGAAGCUUCCUGUGGAAUCCAUCCAGAUUGUGUUAGAGGAACUGAGGAAGAAAGGGAACCUCGAGUGGUUGGAUAAGAACAAGUCUAGCUUCCUGAUCAUGUGGCGGAGGCCAGAAGAAUGGGGGAAACUCAUUUAUCAGUGGGUUUCCAGGAGUGGCCAGAACAACUCCGUGUUCACCCUGUAUGAACUGACCAGUGGGGAGGACACAGAGGGUGAAGAGGGCUCAAGAUUCGUGGGCGUCAGCUGAAGGGAUUGGGCCAACACCCCCAGCCCAUUUAAAUACUUUGGUUUUGGACCAGGCAAGGAUUUGUAUCCGCUUUGAUUUUCACAUAGGAGUUCCACGGGCUGGACGAGGCGACCCUCCUGCGGGCUCUGCAGGCCCUGCAGCAGGAGCACAAGGCUGAGAUAAUCACCCUCAGCGACGGCCGAGGCGUCAAGUUCUUCUAGCAGAGCCUGCCUCCCUGACCUCUCGCCUCCCGCGUUCCCAGGGCUCCAGGGUCCCCACAGACCAGAUCUGUGACCGCAGCGGACUCCUCAGGGCUCCAGGCCGGCGGCUGGGACACAGGGAUGGGUGUCCCCACCCACUUGUCUGUCUUUGGGUUCAGGGAGCCCAAGGUGCAGGGCGAAGGGACUCGCUGCUUUUGCCCUCCCUCCAUCCCGCACGGCCCGAGCCCAGGUCUGUGAACCGGGGUGGCUCGGGUCCAGGCACACAGGCGCCUGCGCAGCCUCGCGUCUCCCUCCCUGCCCUUCUCAGGCUGGUGCCGGGGCCUCCAAGGGCUGGGGAGCCCUGGGUGCCGGCGCCUUCCCGGCGACGUGAAGAGCGCGGCCCCCACAGGGUGGGCAGUGAGGCGGGCACCGCUGAUCUACGCUACUAAAAUCUCAACUCCC